rnacentral:rRNA from 1 species
AUACGUAGGGGGCGAGCGUUGUCCGGAAUGACUGGGCGUAAAGGGCGUGUAGGCGGCGAUUUAAGUUUGGAGUGAAAGUCCCGUUUUCAAGAUGGGAAUUGCUUUGGAUACUGGAGAGCUAGAGUGCAGGAGAGGUAAGCGGAAUUCCUAGUGUAGCGGUGAAAUGCGUAGAUAUUAGGAGGAACACCAGUGGCGAAGGCGGCUUACUGGACUGUAACUGACACUGAGGCACGAAAGCGUGGGGAGCAAACAGGAUUAGAUACCCUGGUAGUCCACGCUGUAAACGAUGAAUACUAGGUGUAGGGGGUAUCAACUCCCUCUGUGCCGCAGCAAACGCAAUAAGUAUUCCGCCUGGGGAGUACGGCCGCAAGGUUGAAACUCAAAUGAAUUGGCGGGG